UUUAUUUGAGAGUUUGAUCCUGGCUCAGGAUGAACGCUGGCGGCGUGCCUAACACAUGCAAGUUGAGCGAUUUACUUCGGUAAAGAGCGGCGGACGGGUGAGUAACGCGUGGGUAACCUACCCUGUACACACGGAUAACAUACCGAAAGGUAUGCUAAUACGGGAUAAUAUAUUUGAGAGGCAUCUCUUAAAUAUCAAAGGUGAGCCAGUACAGGAUGGACCCGCGUCUGAUUAGCUAGUUGGUAAGGUAACGGCUUACCAAGGCGACGAUCAGUAGCCGACCUGAGAGGGUGAUCGGCCACAUUGGAACUGAGACACGGUCCAAACUCCUACGGGAGGCAGCAGUGGGGAAUAUUGCACAAUGGGCGAAAGCCUGAUGCAGCAACGCCGCGUGAGUG
rnacentral:rRNA from 1 species